AGGAGCUGGAUGAGAAGAAACUCUCAUGUCCAGUUCUGUAAUAGAGAUGGAAUUGAAAAACAACCAUCAACUAUAAC
rnacentral:ncRNA from 1 species